ACUGUCAAAUGCUCCGUUCAAUGCUAGCUUUUUGGCUUUCACUGAAUUUUUUUUCUGUGAAAUAGAGUCGUUAAUCCUGUUUUAGUAGUGUUCACAAAUAUAUAAAUCGUGAAUCAAUUGUAAAAAAAUCGAAACUUCAAUUCCAUGGAAAGGAUUUUUUUUAUGGAUGCGAAUGCAUGAAUCAUUUCCUGCGCCAUAUUGAUGAAAGUAUGUAACAACGCGUUUAAACGCGUUGUACCCGCGUGAAUGUGUUGAGCAUGAAUGAAUGAAUGAAUGGAUAAAUGAUUGAAUGAAUGAUUUUGUAAAAUGAGAGAAAGAAAGAAUGAAUGAAUGAAUGAAUUGAAUGAAUAUCAUUCCUGCCAAAGCUAGGCAAUUCGUUCAUCCAAAUGAACUGUCCUGCUACAUAUGCACAAGAUUCUUGGAUUUUAUCCAAUUAAAGCAUUAGGUUGAACGUCUUAACAUUUUGAUGUGGUUUUGUCUUGUUUAAGAAAUAUAUACCCCGGAUUUUUUUUGCUUAUAUAGCUGAUUUGCUUACACACUUAAAAAUUUGGAAUUUUACAUUUAACGCAAUCGUUAAUCUAACGUAAAAUCUGAUCGUGUAAUUGUAAUAUUGAUGUAAAUCUCGGUUUAUUUUGACGGAAAUUGAUCAAAUUCCCAUUGAUUUAGCUCUACAUCUUGCAAAACAUAAAAAUACGUCACAAAAAACCUAACAUUACGCCUUAUUUGAUGCACAUAACUGGAGCAUCAAAUUUGAUGUAACGUUACAUCAAAGUUGAUGUAAUCGUACAUCUAAUCAAACCCAGUUUUGAGUUCUUGGCUCUUUCGUGUUUGACAGUUCCGUGAAUCAUCACAGCAACCGCCAUAUUUAACAACGUGUAGAAAAUUGUUCUUGAGAUGAUUUUUUUCGAAGAUUUGCCGUACCAUGACCCGGUUAAACCCGGGUUCUUCGCCAAAUCUGGCGACCAAAGUAAUUAUAAACUGAUAAACAAGAUAGCAGUCACCUGAUUGCCGGUGUAUCCAAAUCAGAACCAUGGACUGAUCCGUAACAACGAGGAAACAGCAACGUUUCACUUGAGAGAUCAUGCAAAGUGCCGUUGGAGCAAAUUCUUGUUAGGAAGAGUAAAGGGAGCCCAAACUGUGAAGUGAAAAUGAUCGACAAUUCGGUUGAAAACAAUAAACAUAAAAUGCACUGUGAAUGGCAAGUGAAUGGUGAAGGCAUCAGAAAAAUGUGACUGGCAUGUGUAAUGAUGUGAUGAUUUUGGAGUUGUGCAAAUAAAAUAAUGAGUUUUCGUAAACAAGAUGCUUUCUUUGUGUACAAUAAGAAAACGUUGAUUCCAAUAAGAUUUCCCAACCCCAAUGAGCGCAAGUUCCUAAAAUCAAUCUUGUAAUAUUACACGACCAAUUCAAAAUCAAGCGUGUAAAAUUACACGACCAAUGCAUGGCGUGUAAUUAGAUGUAAUUAUACGUUUUAUUUGACGCUCCAGUUAUGUGCAUCAAAUUAGACGUAAAUUUACACGUUUUUUUCUUAGUGUGUAUGUUUGGCAAAUUUUCAACCCAAGUUUGAAAAAAUAGUGUCUUUUUGCUUCUUAACUCAUCUUAUCAGCACAGACCGCAACUGAACUCAUUAGCUAGAUUUUACAUUUACAGACUUCGACCCACCAUCCACCAUGCCAUUUGUUCAAGAUUCAGACUUUAGCAACAAUAACCCGGACUCCAAUCACAGCGAGGUUAGUGAAUCAAAUUAUUAUUGUGUUAUCUUUUUCACUGGCAAAAAUAUGUUUAUUUAAUAUUUAUAAUAAUAUUUAAUUUUAUUCAUAGCCUCAGCCAAACCCUCACCAGUCAAAUGAUGUAAACCUGGCUCUACAUCUCCCAGGCUUCCUUUGGGCCAGACUUUUGCAGCAUCAUUACCGCAUCUCACUGGUUGUAAUUGAGACUACAGUUUUGUAAUUGUACAUUUCGGAGCGAUUUCAAAAGACUCGUUAAAAAUGUAAACUCACAUUAAGCUAUUCGACAUUGUUGAUCUAGAUAUUAAUAAAGUGGAAUAAAGAUGAAGAUUUACUCUUUAUCGUUCCAUUAUUUCACUACGAUCUAAAUCAACAAUGAUCGAGGACGGUGUAAGAUUUGCAUAAGUUUUUAUUGUCUGCAUCAACAUUUUGAAAUGUGGUAAUGAUGCUCUGCAAAAAACGGCUUAAUAUUUAACCCGGUCAGUUUAAAUCGAAUUCUCUGAAACAAAUUUCUGUUCGAAUCAUAAAAGGAAUCCAUUCCAGCAUUCGAAUUCAACUGACUGUGAAUGUGACUUCAGGUCAACGAUUACUAAUUGAUUUCAGUUUUUUCAGGAUCAUCUAGCUAGCUCAAACUAGCUGGGAUUUGAAAGUUGGACGGGCUUUUUUUUUCAGGGUGCUGGUUUAAAAUUAGGUAUUCAACAAAAAAGUGACCAUCAUAGCAGCUGAAGCAGGAUUGUCGAAAGCAAUCUUGAAAAAGUAUGAAUUAUUUACUUGUCAACAUAACUUAUAAUAAAUUCCGAAUGAUUAUUUUAACAUUCUAAAUCAUGCGUAAAUUGAUUUCGUUGAACUAAAAAG